rnacentral:rRNA from 1 species
UACGAAGGGGGCUAGCGUUGUUCGGAUUUACUGGGCGUAAAGCGCACGUAGGCGGAUCGUUAAGUCGGGGGUGAAAUCCUGGAGCUCAACUCCAGAACUGCCUUCGAUACUGGCGAUCUUGAGUCCGGAAGAGGUGAGUGGAACUCCUAGUGUAGAGGUGGAAUUCGUAGAUAUUAGGAGGAACACCAGUGGCGAAGGCGGCUCACUGGUCCGGUACUGACGCUGAGGUGCGAAAGCGUGGGGAGCAAACAGG